rnacentral:lncRNA from 1 species
AAAAAAAAUAUUUUUCCUUAGUAGACUCCUUUGAGAAAAAUAUCCUUUUUCCCAGGGCUUUCUGGGAACUUUUUUGGUUUCAUGCCUAUACAUACCUUCUAUGUGGUUAUCUUGGGUGACGGGUGAUGGUAGGGAGGGUUUAAGACUUUUGUUGAGUGCUUCCUUCUACUAAAAUAUUUUUUGUCAAGAAUACUUCUCUGCUCAUCCCUUAAUGCCAUUUUUCUUUUUUUCAAGACAGUCAUUUUUUUCUUUUCCCUCCACUGAGAAAGAAUUGAUAACAUCCUAAGGAGCUCAUCUCAGGCAUAUUGGGAUCAGGAACUGCUUUCCUCAUUAUGAUACCCCUGCAUGGAACAGCACCUGGAGAGUAGGUGUUCAAUAAAUCCUCACUUAGAGGUUGAGUACCUACUAUGUACAAGCACCAUGCUUGGACUUCUCGGCGUGUCUUGCUGAACUAGACACAUCUGCUGUCUUUGUUUGUUCAAGCUGCUUUAACAAAAGACCAAAGAGUGGGUAAUUUAUAAAGAACAGAAAUUUCGAGCUUACAGUCCUGGGGUCUGGGAGGUUAAUGACCAAGGCACUAACAGGUUCAGUGUUUGGUGAGGGCCUAGUCUCUACUUCCAAGAUGGCACCUUGUUGCUGCAUUUUCCAGAGGGGAUGAACACUGCUUCUCAUAUGGGGAGAUGGAAGGGCAAAAAUGGACCUAUCUAGUUACUCCCAGCCCUUUUAUAAGGUCACUAACCCAUUUAUAAAGUUAUAUGGUUUGGAAGUCCCACCCAAAUCUCAUAUUGAAAUGUAAUCCCCAGUGUUGGGGGUGGGGCCUGGUGGGUGGUGACUGGAUUAUGGGGAUGGGUUUCUCAUGAAUGGUUUAGUACCAUCCUCUUGGUACUGUCCUUGAGAUAGUGAGUUCUCACGAGAUCUGGUCCUUUAAAAGCGUAUGGCACCUCCCGCCUCACUGUCUUGCUCCUGCUCCCACCAUGUGAGACGCCUGCUCCCCCGUGAACUCCCACCAUGACUGUAAGCUUCCUGAGGCCUACCCAGAAAUAGAUGCCCGUGUUAUGCUUCCUGUACAGUGUGCAG